AUUGAACGCUAGCGGGAUGCCUAACACAUGCAAGUCGAACGGAGUGGCGAACGGGUGAGUAAUGUAUCGGAACGUGCCCGGUAGCGGGGGAUAACUACGCGAAAGCGUCGCUAAUACCGCAUACUAUCGGAGGGGCCGAGAUCGGAUUAGCUAGUUGGUGGGGUAACGGCUUACCAAGGCGACGAUCCGUAGCUGGUUUGAGAGGACGAUCAGCCACACUGGGACUGAGACACGGUCCAGACGCCUACGGGAGGCAGCAGUGGGGAAUUUUGGACAAUGGGGGAAAGCCUGAUCCAGCCAUCCCGCGUGUGGGAUGAAGGUCUUCGGAUUGUAAAGCACUUUUGGUUGGAAAGCGGUACCUGCAGAAUAAGCACCGGCUAACUUCGUGCCAGCAGCCGCGGUAAUAC
rnacentral:rRNA from 1 species